ACUGAUGAAAUUCUCAGGAAAGAACUAACAACACUCUUAGGAAAAAAAAAGGUUCAGUGGGUUCUAUAUAGAACACUAGGGUUCUCGACUUAAUUUUAAAGAACAUAUGAAGCGCCUGACGAACCCUUUAAGGUUCUACAUAUGAAGCGCCUGACGAACCCUUUAAGGUUCUACAUAUGAAGAGCCUGACGGACCCUUUAAGGUUCUACAUAUGAAGCGCCUGACGAACCCUUUAAGGUUCUACAUAUGAAGAGCCUGACGAACCCUUUAAGGUUCUGCAUAUGAAGAGCCUGACGAACCCUUUAAGGUUCUGCAUAUGAAGAGCCUGAUGAACCCUUUAAGGUUCUACAUAUGAAGCGCCUGACGAACCAUUUAAGGUUCUGCAUAUGAAGAGCCUGACGAACCCUUUAAGGUUCUGCAUAUGAAGCUCCUGACAAACCCUUUAAGGUUCUACAUAUGAAGCGUCUGAUGAACCCUUUAAGGUUCUACAUAUGAAGAGCCUGACGGACCCUUUAAGGUUCUACAUAUGAAGCGUCUGACGAACCCUUUAAGGUUCUACAUAUGAAGAGUCUGACGAACCCUUUAAGGUUCUACAUAUGAAGAGCCUGACGAACCCUUUAAGGUUCUGCAUAUGAAGAGCCUGACGAACCCUUUAAGGUUCUGCAUAUGAAGAGCCUGAUGAACCCUUUAAGGUUCUACAUAUGAAGCGCCUGACGAACCAUUUAAGGUUCUGCAUAUGAAGAGCCUGACGAACCCUUUAAGGUUCUGCAUAUGAAGCUCCUGACAAACCCUUUAAGGUUCUACAUAUGAAGCGUCUGAUGAACCCUUUAAGGUUCUACAUAUGAAGAGCCUGACGGACCCUUUAAGGUUCUACAUAUGAAGCGUCUGACGAACCCUUUAAGGUUCUACAUAUGAAGAGUCUGACGAACCCUUUAAGGUUCUACAUAUGAAGAGCCUGACGAACCCUUUAAGGUUCUGCAUAUGAAGAGCCUGAUGAACCCUUUAAGGUUCUACAUAUGAAGCGCCUGACGAACCCUUUAAGGUUCUGCAUAUGAAGAGCCUGACGAACCCUUUAAGGUUCUACAUAUGAAGAGCCUGACGAACCCUUUAAGGUUCUGCAUAUGAAGAGCCUGAUGAACCCUUUAAGGUUCUACAUAUGAAGCGCCUGACGAACCCUUUAAGGUUCUGCAUAUGAAGAGCCUGACGAACCCUUUAAGGUUCUACAUAUGAAGAGCCUGACGAACCCUUUAAGGUUCUGCAUAUGAAGAGCCUGACGAACCCUUUAAGGUUCUGCAUAUGAAGAGCCUGACGAACCCUUUAAGGUUCUGCAUAUGAAGCACCUGACGAACCCUUUAAGGUUCUACAUAUGAAGCGCCUGACGCACAACCUUCUAUCUUACUGAGAGUUUUUUAUCUUUAAAUAUUUUUCUUGAAAUAUUCAGGAAAUCAUGACACAUUCUCUCAUGUUUGCUGUGCCCUAAAUUCUGAUGUUUAUUCUAUCGUUGCGAUAUAGUUCAUGUUUCGU